UAGGUUUUUCCUAAGUCAAACAUCUUUAAGUUUGACCAAAUCUAUAGAAAAAUAUAUCAACAUCUACAACAUCAACUAUAUAUAUUACGGAAAUAAAUUUUAUGUUGAAUCUAACAAAACUAAUUGGAUGUUGUAGAUGUUGGUAUGUUUUUCUAUGGACUCGGUCAAACUUAAAGAGGUUUGACUUAGGACAAAGAACUUAA
rnacentral:pre_miRNA from 1 species